UUCAUACGUCGAAUUUUGAUCACGUCGAAUGAAGUUUAUCAUCUCACUAUCUAUUGUCUUAACUGCAUUCGACGCGAUCAAAAUUCGACGUAUAAA